rnacentral:rRNA from 1 species
GCAGAGUAUUAGAUUUAAGUUUUGCUUUUGAUUUUGGAUGAGAAAUUAAUGUUGUGAAGCAAUUUGUGCGGAGACUAGACUUAGUGUCUGUCGCACAAGCAAAUUGCGAACUCAUUAAUUUAUCGCCAAAAGCAUAGCAAAGAAUCUUGCAUUCAAUAAGGCAGUAUCCUUAGAAGUAAAAAGCUUUUAAGGGCAGAUGGUGGAUGCCUUGGGUGAUAGAGGCGAUGAAGGACGUACUAAGCUGCGAUAAGCUAUGGGGAGCUGCUAAGAAGCUUUGAUCCAUAGAUUUCCGAAUGGGGCAACCCAAUACAUAGAGAUAUGUAUUACCUUUAAUGGAGCGAACCUAGCGAAGUGAAACAUCUCAGUAGCUAGAGGAAAAGAAAUCGUAAUGAGAUUCUCCUAGUAGCGGCGAGCGAACGGGGAAGAGGGCAAACCAGUAGUUUGCUACUGGGGUUGAGGACUGCAAUAUCCACUUGAAUAAUGUAGCAGAAGUGUUUGGAAAAACACAUCACAGAGGGUGAUAGUCCCGUAUGCGAAAUAUUAUUCAUAGGUAGCAGGAUCCAGAGUAGGCCAGGACACGUGAAAUCCGGGCUGAAGCCGGGGAGACCACUCUCCAACCCUAAAUACUACUAUCACACCGAUAGCGAACAAGUACCGUGAGGGAAAGGUGAAAAGAACCGCAGUGAGCGGAGUGAAAUAGAACCUGAAACCAUCUGCCUACAAUCAUUCGGAGCCCUAUGAUUUAUCAGGGUGACGGACUGCCUUUUGCAUAAUGAUCCUGCGAGUUGUGGUAUCUGGCAAGGUUAAGCACACGCGAAGCCGUAGCGAAAGCGAGUCUUAAUAGGGCGUUUAGUCAGAUGCUGCAGACCCGAAGCCAAGUGAUCUAUCCAUGGCCAAGUUGAAGCGAGUGUAAUAGCUCGUGGAGGACUGAACUCGUACCCAUUGAAACGGGUUGGGAUGAGCUGUGGAUAGGGGUGAAAGGCCAAACAAACUUGGUGAUAGCUGGUUCUCUUCGAAAUAUAUUUAGGUAUAGCCUCAAGUGAUAGUAAUAGGGGGUAGAGCUCUGAUUGGGCUAGGGCUGCUCACCGCGGUACCAACCCCUGUCAAACUACGAAUACCUAUUGCCUUAUCUUGGGAGUCAGGCGGUGGGUGAUAAAAUCAAUCGUCAAAAGGGGAACAACCCAGACUACCAACUAAGGUCCCAAAGUUCUAUUCUAAGUGGAAAAUGAUGUGAAGUUACUCAGACAACCAGGAGGUUGGCUUAGAAGCAGCCAUCCUUUAAAGAAAGCGUAACAGCUCACUGGUCUAGUGAUUUUGCGCAGAAAAUAUAACGGGGCUAAGAUAGACACCGAAGUUGUAGAUUCUAUGCUGGUGCAUAGAGUGGUAGAAGAGCGUUCGUAUCAGCGUUGAAGGCAUACCGGUAAGGAGUGCUGGAGCGAUGCGAAGUGAGCAUGCAGGAAUGAGUAGCGAUAAAAGUGGUGAGAAUCCACUUCGCCGAAAGUCUAAGGUUUCCUACGCGAUGCUCGUCAUCGUAGGGUUAGUCGGGUCCUAAGACAAGUCAGAAAUGGGUAGUCGAUGGAAAAUGGGUUAAUAUUCCCAUACCAACAUUAGUGUGCGAUGGGGGGACGCAUAGGGCUAAGUAGCGUUAGCUGAUGGAAGUGCUAAUUUAAAAGCGUAGAUUGAGAGAUAGGUAAAUCCGCUCUUGUAUUCGAAACUUGAAUAGCUUGUUGCGAUCUUCGGAUCAAGAUGAGUGCUACUGACGCCGUCGUGCCAAGAAAAGCCUCUAAGUUUAACUAAUGUUGCCCGUACCGCAAACCGACACAGGUAGAUGAGAUGAGUAUUCUAAGGCGCGUGAAAGAACUCUGGUUAAGGAACUCUGCAAACUAGCACCGUAAGUUCGCGAUAAGGUGUGCCACAGCAAUGUGGUCUCAGCAAAGAGUCCCUCCCGACUGUUUACCAAAAACACAGCACUUUGCAAACUCGUAAGAGGAAGUAUAAGGUGUGACGCCUGCCCGGUGCUCGAAGGUUAAGAGGAUUCGUUAGCAGUAAUGCGAAGCGUUGAAUUGAAGCCCGAGUAAACGGCGGCCGUAACUAUAACGGUCCUAAGGUAGCGAAAUUCCUUGUCGGUUAAAUACCGACCUGCAUGAAUGGCGUAACGAGAUGGGAGCUGUCUCAACCAGGGAUUCAGUGAAAUUGUAGUGGAGGUGAAAAUUCCUCCUACCCGCGGCAAGACGGAGAGACCCCGUGGACCUUUACUACAGCUUGGCACUGCCGAUGGGAGCAUUAUGCGCAGGAUAGGUGGGAGGCUUUGAAAUCUUCACUCUGGUGGAGAUGGAGCCAUCCUUGAGAUACCACCCUUAAUGUUUCUGUCUGCUAACUGGCUAGAGUUAUCCUCUAGCAGGACAAUGCCUGGUGGGUAGUUUGACUGGGGCGGUCGCCUCCUAAAAAGUAACGGAGGCUUGCAAAGGUUGGCUCAUUGCGGUUGGAAAUCGCAAGUAGAGUGUAAUGGCAUAAGCCAGCCUGACUGUAAGACAAACAAGUCGAGCAGAGACGAAAGUCGGUCAUAGUGAUCCGGUGAUUCUGUGUGGAAGGGUCAUCGCUCAAAGGAUAAAAGGUACCCCGGGGAUAACAGGCUGAUCUCCCCCAAGAGCUCACAUCGACGGGGAGGUUUGGCACCUCGAUGUCGGCUCAUCGCAUCCUGGGGCUGGAGCAGGUCCCAAGGGUAUGGCUGUUCGCCAUUUAAAGCGGUACGCGAGCUGGGUUCAGAACGUCGUGAGACAGUUCGGUCCCUAUCUGCCGUGGGCGUAGGAGAGUUGAGGAGAGCUGUCCCUAGUACGAGAGGACCGGGAUGGACACGCCACUGGUGUAGCAGUUGUUCUGCCAAGAGCAUCGCUGCGUAGCUACGCGUGGAUGUGAUAACCGCUGAAAGCAUCUAAGCGGGAAGCCAACUCCAAGAUGAACUCUCCCUGAAGGUCGCAGCAAGACUAGCUGCUUGAUAGGGUAGGUGUGUAAGCAUAGUAAUGUGUUUAGCUGACUACUACUAAUAGACCGUUUGGCUUUUUAUAUAAGGAUUACUGCCUUAUUGAGUGCAAGAUUCUAAAAGAUUAUUGUUUAAGUUUAAUUAUUCAAGUUUAUAUAUGCGAGUUUAUAUAUGUAGGUAAUAGAUUUAGAAUGAGAAGCUUAGAUAUAGAAUCUGCUUUGAUAAGAGGGAAGUGUAAUUGAGAAGUGUAAUUGAAUGG